GAUGAACGCUGGCGGCGUGCCUAAUACAUGCAAGUCGAGCGAACGGGCGAGAAGCUUGCUUCUCUGAUGUUAGCGGCGGACGGGUGAGUAACACGUGGAUAACCUACCUAUAAGACUGGGAUAACUUCGGGAAACCGUAGCUAAUACCGGAUAAUAUUUUGAACCGCAUGGUUCAAAAGUGAAAGACGGUCUUGCUGUCACUUAUAGAUGGAUCCGCGCUGCAUUAGCUAGUUGGUAAGGUAACGGCUUACCAAGGCAACGAUGCAUAGCCGACCUGAGAGGGUGAUCGGCCACACUGGAACUGAGACACGGUCCAGACUCCUACGGGAGGAAGCAGUAGGGAAUCUUCCGCAAUGGGCGAAAGCCUGACGGAGCAACGCCGCGUGAGUGAUGAAGGUCUUCGGAUCGUAAAACUCUGUUAUUAGGGAAGAACAUAUGUGUAAGUAACUGUGCACAUCUUGACGGUACCUAAUCAGAAAGCCACGGCUAACUACGUG
rnacentral:rRNA from 1 species